UUGCUUUCUCCAGUCAUUGCCUUCCUCAUUGAUUAGCGCCUUGCAGUCCUUACCUAUGCUUUCUCUGAAGGUUUUUUUUAAUCUUUGUAUUGUCUUCAAGACCUCUGGCACCACACAUGCAUUGCAGAUACAGCACUGAGACUCCAGCCUCCAGGUGGUACCACAGGACAAAGUAUAAAGGAACCUAUGUCUGCAGGGCACUCUCCAGCCUGACCUCUUAAAUCCAUGGAGCCAGCAGAGCCACCUGCCUCGGUUACAAUGCCACAGAUGUGGAGCAGCACUUCCUCCAGCUCCAGGGAUCACAUCAGUGUAUUCAGACUGAGAGUCAGGACGUAUAUCCCACUAUGAAAUAUUCUCCACAGAAAGGCUCUGGGACCGUGCGCUCUGCCCUGCCUGGAAAUGCCUGAAACCAGGAUAAAUCAGUGCUGCUUCAGAGUGAGGUGACCUGAGUCAACAGUAAAACAGACCUUGAGAUACAAGAUUGUGGAAAGGGGAAAGACUUUAUAUCAAUGCUGACUUUUGUGUUUUGAACAGAUUUUCAUCAGUAGAUAAGCGUUUAAACACAAAGCUAUCUGAUCAGAUUGUUCUUAUGGAGUCUGGGUUUUAACACCAUAAUUACUGUUGCACUCAGAGUUUUCCUGAAUUUCCUUCUGUUACUUUUCGUGUCACCUAUUGAAAGUGGCAAAAAACAUUUCUCCAAAACCGUGUGUGCAAUGCUUAUUAAAGGAGAAUAAUUUUAGGGAUGGUUGGUAACUGAAGCACUUUUUAUGUUUUCUAAAAAAUACUUCUUUUCUAAAAAAUGUCACGUAGUGACUUGUGAUUUUGUGACCUGAGGAUGUUUUUCUAAAGAAAAGGACGUGGGAGGGAAAAAGAGAAACUAACUGUACCAUGAUAAUUAAGGGAGAGUGUGAGAGCAAUGUGAAGACUGUUAACUCCAGGUUCCUCAAAAUAGAUUUACAAGCAGAUCAAAGAAUAAAUUUAUAUGCACAUGAAUAACAAAUGCAUUAGUCACAUUAGGGUUUAAUGAAAUGUUUGUGAAAUAGCAGCUUCAUAGCACUAUCCCUUCAAGAGUAAUUCACUAAGGUAGAGCUGAUGGCACAUCCCUGUUUUUCUUUGUCCAGUGUACAAGCUGUGCAGGAAGGGCAAUGAGGAUAGGAUGAUCAUUAUUGCUAUAGGAUUAGCUACCAACUGGAGAAAGAAGUUCAGAAGUAGUAUUGGUGCUUUGCCAUGUGCUACUUUACCUGCAGUAAACCUAUAGAGGCCAUUAAAAUCAACCACAGAGCCUUCACUGAGCUCAGACUUUCAGACUGCUCUUGAUAGGAACAGUGCAAGGAAUGGGGGUUGACCAGGGCAUUCAGUUCAUGAGAAGGAGGCUGCCAAACGGUUAUUGUUUAAUCUCCUAAAUGCAAAGCAAAGCGCUGCCUCUAUUGCCCCAUUUUGGACACUUAUCCAUGUUGUUUAUCUUCCUUAAAUGACCUGUGACAGGAAUCUGUGAUUCUCCAAGGACAAACACUGCACAUUCUAGUAUAGUCUGUAUGGGCAUGAUGGAAACUCAGAACAUGCUGUAUUCCCAGCUCCACCAAGGUCUACCAGCUACCCAGAAGUCAUUUGGGAAAUCAGGGAGUCAAACACUACACUGCCACUGGAGAGAAUACCAAUGUGAAAACUCAAUCAGACAUCCAGAAGUCUUGAUGAGCAGCCAGCGGGCAGAGCUGCACUGAGGAAGAGCAGGAUCUGUUUGCUCCUAGGUUUGGUUGUGAUCAUGUAUAAUCCUCUGGGGAAGGGCAGUCUAAUGGCUGAGGUGCUGUCAUGGGACCAGACAAAGUCAGCAUCCAAAUGGAUCAGGUACCUAAACAUCAUUGAAAUGCAUAUUUGGAUUUAACAGAAGACAUGCUUUGUUGCUUCUGAAAAUAGUUCUGGCAACUUUGAACAUCUUGUCAUUGUUUUUUCUGUAUGCCAUAUUCUGAGUUCAGGAUCUCUAGUAUUGCAUAGGAAAUGUUGGAAAAAUGGUAUCCUCUGCUGCUAAGGUAAUGGGAAGAGCCUGCUUUACUUCUUUUUGAUAGUUGGAGUGGGUAUAUUGAUUAUGGCUUUUCUGAUGACUAUAAACUUAGAAAUGAAAGAAAAUGAGUUUGCUGCAGAAGUAGUGUUUAAAGGCACUAUAUAUAUAUCAUUAGUGUCAUAUACUUGCCAGACUCUUAGAUCAACUUUGCAAAGAAAGCUGCAAUGGCCUAAAUGCUGACAACAUGCCUGCUACUCUCUGCUUUGGUUAUUUACAGAAUUCAAAAUUAAGGCCAUAUUUGAACAACAUCCUGUAUCAAAGGUGCAUGCAAUAAAAGUAAUUGGAUGUUUGCUACAUAUAAAUAAAGUUUCUGCCCUGACAAAUCAUUCUAUGACAGCAAUAACUUUCUAGGCAUAGAAGUAUCGACUGCUAGAUGCAUGACCCCUUCUGAAUUAUCACUUGCCUACAUGUAAUAAUGCAGAGAAUGUCGACAGUGUCCAUUGUUUGCCAAUGACUGGAAAAGUAAUUCAUGCUGUAGGAUACCUUUGUGGUUUUCAAGAAAAAAGGCUGGACAGGCUUUAUGCAUUCAUUAAGGAAUAAAUCCAGCACAGCCAAAAAAGGGUGUUGGAUACGUCAGCCUCUGCACUGUUACGUGCCAAUUUAGCCAAUAUCAUGCAAUGCAA